rnacentral:rRNA from 1 species
AUACGUAGGGGGCGAGCGUUGUCCGGAAUGAUUGGGCGUAAAGGGCGCGUAGGCGGCCUGUUAAGUCUGGAGUGAAAGUCCUGUUUUCAAGAUGGGAAUUGCUUUGGAUACUGAUGGGCUUGAGUGCAGGAGAGGUUAUCGGAAUUCCCGGUGUAGCGGUGAAAUGCGUAGAGAUCGGGAGGAACACCAGUGGCGAAGGCGGGUAACUGGACUGCAACUGACGCUGAGGCGCGAAAGUGUGGGGAGCAAACAGGAUUAGAUACCCUGGUAGUCCACACUGUAAACGAUGAAUGCUAGGUGUAAGAGGUAUCGACCCCUUUUGUGCCGGAGUUAACACAAUAAGCAUUCCGCCUGGGGAGUACGGCCGCAAGGUUGAAACUCAAAUGAAUUGACGGG